rnacentral:rRNA from 1 species
UACGUAGGUGGCAAGCGUUGUCCGGAUUUAUUGGGUUUAAAGGGUGCGUAGGCGGCUUUGUAAGUCAGUGGUGAAAUAUGGCAGCUCAACUGUCAGGGUGCCAUUGAUACUGCAGAGCUUGAGUACAGAUGAGGUAGGCGGAAUUGACGGUGUAGCGGUGAAAAUGCUUAGAUAUCUGGAGGAACACCGGUGGCGAAGGCGGCAUC